AGGUCUUCGGAUGCUGACGAGUGGCGAACGGGUGAGUAAUACAUCGGAACGUGCCCGAUCGUGGGGGAUAACGAGGCGAAAGCUUUGCUAAUACCGCAUACGAUCUACGGAUGAAAGCGGGGGAUCUUCGGACCUCGCGCGGACGGAGCGGCCGAUGGCAGAUUAGGUAGUUGGUGGGAUAAAAGCUUACCAAGCCGACGAUCUGUAGCUGGUCUGAGAGGAUGAUCAGCCACACUGGGACUGAGACACGGCCCAGACUCCUACGGGAGGCAGCAGUGGGGAAUUUUGGACAAUGGGCGAAAGCCUGAUCCAGCCAUGCCGCGUGCAGGAUGAAGGCCUUCGGGUUGUAAACUGCUUUUGUACGGAACGAAAAGCCUUCUUCUAAUACAGGAGGGUCAUGACGGUACCGUAAGAAUAAGCACCGGCUAACUACGUGCCAGCAGCCGCGGUAAUACGUAGGGUGCAAGCGUUAAUCGGAAUUACUGGGCGUAAAGCGUGCGCAGGCGGUUUUGUAAGACAGAGGUGAAAUCCCCGGGCUCAACCUGGGAACUGCCUUUGUGACUGCAAGGCUGGAGUGCGGCAGAGGGGGAUGGAAUUCCGCGUGUAGCAGUGAAAUGCGUAGAUAUGCGGA
rnacentral:rRNA from 1 species